ACUCAAAUGAAUUGACGGGGACCCGCACAAGCAGCGGAGCAUGUCGCUUAAUUCGAUGCAACGCGAAGAACCUCACCUGGAUUGAACUACGCAGGAAAAGCCAUAGAGAUAUGGUGUCCUUCGGGGUCUGCGAUAGGUGGUGCAUGGCUGUCGUCAGCUCGUGUCGUGAGAUGUUGGGUUAAGUCCCGCAACGAGCGCAACCCUUUUCUUAUGUUGCUAACAAGUUAUGUUGAGGACUCGUAAGAGACUGCCGUGGUCAACACGGAGGAAGGUGGGGAUGACGUCAAGUCAUCAUGCCCCUUACGUCCAGGGCUGCAGACAUGCUACAAUGGAUGGUACAAAGAGCUGCUAACUCGCGAGAGUACGCUAAUCUCAAAAAACCAUUCUCAGUUCGGAUUGGAGUCUGCAACUCGACUCCAUGAAGCUGGAGUUGCUAGUAAUCCCGGAUCAGCAUUGCCGGGGUGAAUACGUUCCCGGGUCUUGCACACACCGCCCGU
rnacentral:rRNA from 1 species